rnacentral:tRNA from 1 species
GGACCGUUGGUCAAGCGGUUAAGACACCGCCCUUUCACGGCGGUAACACGGGUUCGAAUCCCGUACGGGUCACCA